AUGACACCAUCUAGAUGAGGAGGCUGCAGAGUAGUGUUGUGAACAGCUUCAGCGCAGCUGCAGCAGGAUGUUUCUGACACUUUUCUGGCUCUUCUUGGCCUUUUGCUGUACUCCUUCACUUUCAGCCAAAACAGAAUUGCCUACACUCCUCCAGAGCCCGGCGGCCAUCAUCCUGUCUAAGCUCAACUCCACGGCCGAGCUGCUCUGCUCCACCACACUCAAACCUUCUGGGCUGUAUCUGAAACAGCGCUACUCCAAGCCACGAGAGCUGCUGUAUCUAAGUAUACCUGACUAUACUAAGACCUUCAGCUUCGGUUUUGAACAUCGUCUGUCAGUCAGUGGCAAGUGCUGUGACUUCACCCUGAGUCUAUCUCAGCUGCAAAUUGAGGACACAGAUGGGUACUACUGCGAAUGGGUGUUUAUUGGGGGUACAGGCGUACAAAUCAGCUACGGGCAAGCCAGUGAGACAGUCAUCAUCGUGAGAGAUGGAGACCCAGAAGAGGAAUGCAAUAAACGGCGUAUGGUUCAUCACCUUCUCUUCGUGAUCAGCGUGCUCAUUACUGUCACAAUGUUCAUUAUUUGCAUUGGUCUGCUAAUAUGGAAGUUCCGGCAGUCUUCUCAGCACUAUUCACCUUAUAAGGUCCCUCACAGGCGUCAUCAGCCCCAGUGCCCGCAUCGCAGAAGAUAACAGUAUUAUUAGUUUGCCUUCUAUGGGCUUUUUGUGUGUGUGUGUGUGUGUGUGUGUGUGUUUUCCUUGCACUAGCUUGUGUUUUCUAGGCCUCAAACCUUCCCCCAUUAAAAAGGUGACAAAACAUCCUGCUUUUUUUCAUCUGUGCUGCUGUUUUUUUUCCAUUCUGCUGACAAUUACAUCCUGUUCUUUCAUCUUGGUGAGACUUCAAUCACUUACAUGUCUGUACUUUAUCGAUUUCCACAGUAAAUGACCUGGUAAACUUUGAAGAUGACAACUCAAGAUACAGAAAGACAAAUUACAUAGACGAAAGAAAGAUCUACAUUUUGACUGUCAUUUUUCUUUUACACUGUAUGAUUUUUUUUUGUAUGAUGAACCAAUAGAAAUAGUCCACAAUUACAUAGAAUAAAAUAUUUUUACAUUAACUUACAUUAAAGAUACAUUAUUAUUAUUAUUAUUAUUAUUAUUUUAUUCUUUACUCUUCUACAGUUAUGAGGUUCUGUCCCAACAGUGAUAAUAUUAAUGUUAAGAUUAAUGUUAAUAUAUAAAUGCAUCUGCAAAAUGACCUGUUAUGUGUUGUGAUAUCAUAUUAUCAUAGUUCAAUGAGAAUGCUUUGGUUUAGUACCUUUGUUCUCAUUCAUGUUGGUGUUUAUCUGUAGAAAUAACAGGUUGUUUUUCUCAGAAUUUGUUUCUUUUUUUCCUCAGACUUCAUCACAUGUAUGUUACAUUAUUAAGUGACAAUUAGGGAUGUUUAGAGAACCUUCAGAGUUUAAAAACAACUGAAACAUUCAAGAACAAUGUUCCAUUGAUCUUUCUUCUUUCUUGUAUUUGUAAUCUUGUAACUUAAUUCAUUAACUUGCAAUACGUUAUCCAUUAAUAGGCAUGACUGAUCGAUUGAUUGAUCUGUCUUAAACUGAGAAUAUGUAUGAUCAGAGUAAUAUCCACUAUCUGCCAUACUGAGCUGUACUUUCUCAAGCCUUUACCUCUUCUGAAAGUGUACUUCCUGUCUGGCAAACCGUUUUCACUGAUGCUCUGUGUUGCCUUUGAGUUUUUUCCCCGUCUUUCUCAAAUGGCUAGAUCUUUGGUAGAUGUCACCUCUCACUACUUGCAUGUUCUUCUCUCUUUUCCUAUCGUUCCCUUUUGUGCAUAUGACACAAUGGCUGGCUGAACUGUUUUUCUCAAAUUGGCGAAAGUCAUGGAUGCCUGUCUUUGACUAGCUUCAGUGGGCCUUAAGCCUUAAAGAGAGUGAAAUUAAUCUUAUAACUAUAUUUGCUGUAAACCUGCUCAAAAAAUUAACAAUAUCAUUCUUUAUAUACAAUUUUACUCAACAAUACUCAACAGUUUUAGAGUUUUUAUUUGAAAAUGGCUCUUUACAACAGGAAUCCACUUACACAUGACUCCUGUGUGUAGGACUGGCUAAAUGACAACAAGAGUAACAAUGCUUCUAAACCUAUCACACAGUGGGCUCUUAGCAGACUCUCGCUCAGUAGCCUCUGGGACAAAACAAAUGAAGGCAUCCUUGGACACCUUUCAUAGGCCUGGCACUCCCAAUGAUGCAAUUAGAGCACAAAGUCAUUUCAUACACAAAUGAGUGAAUUCUGAAUUUUUAAGAUAUAUAUUACUCAGAACAGCAUACAACUCAAAAUAUUAAUUUUGUUUAAUUGUAAAUAUCACUUUCAUUGCAAAGUGAACUGCCCAUGUCUGUGGACACCAGCACAAUUGUUUUACAGUGGGUUUCUAAGCAUCCUGUCCCACUCCAUGUAUAUAAACAUAUAUAUACAUACAAACCUCAUUUCCAAAAUAGAGGAGAUGUUGUCAUGUUGAAAUAACAUGGAUGUCCCUGAAAAAGAUGUCGUCUAGAAGGCAGCAUGUAAUCACUUUCAAAGCAAAACUUUAUGUCUCCGUUUUUGAGAUUUUCUUUUUUUGGUAUUUUUUAUUUGAAAAUGCCAGCUUUGCCCUUUACAAUGGGUUUCAUGAUAAUUAGACCAAAAGAAAUGUGCCAAAAUGACGAUGAAAAAAUGAAAAAGUUACCAUUGUGGAGAUACAAAGUUUUAUUGUGGCAACUUUAUGUCACUACAAAAUGUGUUUCUUAGCAUUAAAGGUGCCUUCAUAGAUGGGUAGUUACCCAUGCCAUGAGCCCUGUUACACCCUCACACUGCAACAGAUGCUAGAGUUUUAACUGGGUGGUCUUUUUCUUCUUUUGCCUGGAAAACAUGUUAUUUCCA